rnacentral:lncRNA from 1 species
UAAUUAUUUGAUCAUAAGAAAGGAGAGUCUGACUUUGUGGAAAAACACACAGUCAGUUUCAUUAGAAAAGAGAGAGUCAGACGUUUUUAAAACAACAACAACAAUAUGCCCUGAGUAGUAGAGAAACAGAAGAGCGAUUGAUCUACAAAGGCAAGACUCAGACGGAGACCACAGUGAACCUGCAAAAUAGAGGAGCCCCUGGGUGGGAGAGGAUAUAACUGGAACUCUGGGAAUGUAACGUGCAUGGUGUGCUCAUCUGACAGACAUGGCAGCUUAGGGGAAUGAGUCUCUGCAGCAUUGUAGUGAAGAGAGGAUACAGGACGACUGUAGAACCACAGCUCAGCCAAGACCCGAAGAAAACAAAAAAGUCCCACAAAGAUGUAGGAUCUCACUUUGCCUGCAUUAAUUCCCUGUCCUUUGCCCAGUUUCUCCUCUCUUGGAAGGCAGAGGCAGCUUCUGAUUUUGAUCACUUCGUGUCCAGAAUUCCAGAACUCUCUGACCGUAUAAUAAGUCCUGCUGACCUCCAGCCUCCUGGACAGAGUCUUUUGACCAUCCAUAAAAAACUUGUGAAAGACUUGCUGGUAAUGAAUGCUAUCUUAAAUGCUUUACAAACAUUAUUGAAUUUAAUCUUCACAAUUAACCUUUUGAGGACUAUUUGGUGAAUGAAGUGAGUUUUGAACUCAGGCUGACUUAGAUUGUACAAGCCCACAUUUCUACUCCUGCCUCAACCUCCCAAGUAUCUUUGACUACAGGUGUGCGUGUCACCAUGGCCCAGCUAAUUUUUGUAUUGCCCAGGAUGGUCUUGAACUCCUGGGCUCAAGCAUCCUCC